rnacentral:rRNA from 1 species
UACGAAGGGGGCUAGCGUUGCUCGGAAUUACUGGGCGUAAAGGGCGCGUAGGCGGCUUCGAUAGUCGGAUGUGAAAGCCCUGGGCUCAACCCAGGAAGUGCAUUCGAAACUGCAGAGCUGGAGUCCUGGAGAGGAAGGCGGAAUUCUCGGUGUAGAGGUGAAAUUCGUAGAUAUCGAGAGGAACACCGGUGGCGAAGGCGGCCUUCUGGACAGUGACUGACGCUGAGACGCGAAAGCGUGGGGAGCAAACAGG